CACGUAGGAGGCGAGCGUUGUCCGGAAUCAUUGGGCGUAAAGAGCGCGCAGGCGGCCCGGCAAGUCGGGUGUGAAAUCCCGGGGCUCAACCCCGGGACUGCAUUCGAUACUGCCGGGCUAGAGGUAGGUAGGGGAGAGUCGGAAUUCCUGGUGUAGCGGUGAAAUGACGCAGAUAUCAGGAGGAACACCGGUGGCGAAGGCGGAUCUCUGGGCCUUACCUGACGCUCAGGCGCGAAAGCUAGGGGGAGCGAACAGG
rnacentral:rRNA from 1 species